GUCUACGGCCAUGCCACCCUGAACAAGCCCGAUCCCAUCUGGUCUCAGAAGCUAAGCAGCGUCCAGCCUGGUUAGUACUUGGAUGGGAGACUACCUAGGAAUACCAGGUGCUAUAGGCA
rnacentral:rRNA from 1 species